UGCCCUAGUAACGGCGAGUGAAGCGGCAACAGCUCAAAUUUGAAAUCUGGCUCUUUUAGAGUCCGAGUUGUAAUUUGCAGAGGGCGCUUUGGCUUUGGCAGCGGUCCAAGUUCCUUGGAACAGGACGUCACAGAGGGUGAGAAUCCCGUACGUGGUCGCUGGCUAUUGCCGUGUAAAGCCCCUUCGACGAGUCGAGUUGUUUGGGAAUGCAGCUCUAAAUGGGAGGUACAUUUCUUCUAAAGCUAAAUAUUGGCCAGAGACCGAUAGCGCACAAGUAGAGUGAUCGAAAGAUGAAAAGCACUUUGGAAAGAGAGUCAAACAGCACGUGAAAUUGUUGAAAGGGAAGCGCUUGCAGCCAGACUUGCUUGCAGUUGCUCAUCCGGGCUUUUGCCCGGUGCACUCUUCUGUAGGCAGGCCAGCAUCAGUUUGGGCGGUAGCAUAAAGGUCUCUGUCACGUACCUCUCUUCGGGGAGGCCUUAUAGGGGAGGCGACAUUCUACCAGCCUGAACUGAGGUCCGCGCAUCUGCUAGGAUGCUGGCGUAAUGGCUGUAAGCGGCCCGUCUUGAAACACGGACCAAGGAGUCUAACAUCUAUGCGAGUGUUUGGGUGUCAAGCCCGAGCGCGUAAUGAAAGUGAACGGAGGUAGGAACCCGCAAGGGGGCACUAUCGACCGAUCCUGAUGUCUUCGGAAGGAUUUGAGUAAGAGCAUGGCUGUUGGGACCCGAAAGAUGGUGAACUAUGCUUGAAUAGGGUGAAGCCAGAGGAAACUCUGGUGGAGGCUCGCAGCGGUUCUGACGUGCAAAUCGAUCGUCAAAUUUGGGCAUAGGGGCGAAAGAC
rnacentral:rRNA from 1 species